CCACCUGGAAACACCCACUUUGAAGUAUUAAUCCAAGUGACAUUGGAUUAAAGUUUUCCUUGACUUCCUCCAACCCCAGCACAGUGCCAGUGGCUCUUGGAGAAAGGGGAAAAGUCUGUGCUCUUAGAAAGUGCUAAUGAAAUAGACAAGCCACAGCCUAACAGAUGGGUAAGCGUGCUGGAGGAUGAGCUUCACGUGGAUUUAGAGCUGUGAUUACACCCGCUCCUGGUUUCACCCCCAAUGACUCCCACAGUGUGCACCUGUAGAUGGUAAGCUCAGUUCUUUCAGCUGCACCACCAGAGACACCCUUGCUGACAGAAUAGCCCUUCCCCUUUGUGCAAGGUUUUUCUCUGUGCACAUUUUGAUUAUCUCCCCACCUCCCUCAUUUGAUUUUGGCUGUGCUUCUGUUAUAAUUAUUUUACAAGUGUGUGUACAAACAGUGUGCUACCUCUUCAAAAUUUUCUAAAUACCUUGGGAACUCAAAUUUUCGGAGGGAGCCUUCUCCAGCCACCUGUGGCUGCAAAACUGUGUGAUUCCUUGAAGACUGUCAGGUGUGGAGGGGUAAUUUAUCCUGCUUCCCUGCCGUUCUAGAAUGAUAGGAGGUUGUGAUUGCAGCAAAUUUGGAGAUCAUCUUUCAUAAGAAACCCAGAUAUAUUUUCUAGGCUUGGAUACUUUAUUGAUGCAGAUGCUGGAGUGUGGAGAAGACUCGAGCUCUCUUCAAGUUUACCAGGCCAACCCACCCUCAGCCAGUGUCAAAUUAGUCUGGGAAGAAAAUAUACAAGCAGAGGCUUCUGAUCAGAUUGUAGAGGGGAGGAGAACAGAGUCCGGAGCCAUGGGCUUGAGGUAAGUCUGUGUUAUCAGAGAAGAAAACCAAACUUCUGAGCUCAUCUUUUGCAUUUUCAUUGCACCACCUUCAGUCAAGCACUGAAGCCUACAAUUUUAUGAGGAGGAAAGGAGAGUUAAAUGAACUAUGGGAUAACAUAAAAAUUGCAAGUCAUAAGCACCAAAAGGCAUAGAAAAGGACUCUGAGACCCAGAAAACUACUUGACUAGAGCAGUCAGAUUCUAUUCAUGUAGAGUAUUGAUGGAAGCAGACUGUGUGUGUACAAGUAUAUUUGUUUUAUUUAGUUAGAUUAAAAGGUUUACUUCCAGUAUAUUAUCAUCAUAGCCAAGAAGAGUUAUGAUGUGCUAGUUUAGAAUGCAUUGAUACGUGCUCAGGUGCAGGAGGCACUGCUGGGACCAUUAUACUUUUGGGUGUAGGAGGGUGAACAGCAGUAUGUUCUGCACAGGCUUGCACCAGAACCGUUCAGCAGAAGCAGAGUGAUAAUAACUCCUAAUGUGCCAAUAUUGGAACAGAACAAGUUCAAUUUGAAAGGAAUUAAGUUAACGAUGUAUUGACUGAGAGAAAUAUUCAGUGUUAAUUGGAUGGCAUUCCGAAUGCGCCUGCUAUGCAAUACAGCUGUUUGUUAAAGGAGGGCUUUGGCCUAGAUUUGUCCUUGUUCUGCCUGAAAUUGCCAUGUGUUUUUACUGCAUAUUCCAAUGAAAGCCUAGGUAAGCUAAUGGAACCCACAUGUUAAAUUAUGUGCGUGUGUGUGUGUGCAUGUAAACAUAUAUAUGAGUUUGGUAUCAUUUUCCUCAGUAUGGCCGUGGCAAAGAAUAUGAUAAAAGGUGAUUUGGGAAGUCUAUAGAAAAUUUCUUGGGUACUUUAAUCUUGAGGAAAUGCAAAGGAAAAUAAAAUAUUGGCAGUAGAAAUGGCAUUCUGUAAUUCAGAUAAACAUGUCAUGGUGAGGUGAUAAACUGAAAUUCAAAUGGUUGAUGGUGGCUGCUGGAUUUUAAAAAUAAUUUAAACAAAUAUCUUUUAGAAGCAAUAUUAUUGUAGACAUGAUGAUAUAAUUUUUAACAGUUUUAUUGAGGUAUGAUUUAGAUACAUAAAAUUCACCUCCAUUAAGUGUAUAUUUUUAGUACAUUUACGGAGCUGUGCAAUCAUCACCACACUAAUUUUAAAACAUGCCCAUUACCAAAAUAAGACAAUACGUUUUUGAUUAUAACAAAAUUUUAGCAUGCAAUUAUUCAAUAACUAUAUUAUUUUAUUUAGUUAGUAGAAUUUGUUAAUCUCUAAAUAUAUAUAAAGUGAUUUAUAACAUAUUUUAUUUAAAAUUUCUGAUAAAUAUAUGUAUUUCAUUAACCCAGAUCUAUAGGAACUAAUCUGCUAGGAUACAAAUUACAACAAUUUGUGUCAUUUAGUGUCUACUAAUAGUGUUUGCAAGCGACUUAUUGCAUAUUAUCUACGUUAAUAAAAAUUUAAAUUUUUUGUCUAACCUGAAAAUAUAACAGAACCUAGUCUCAGA
ensembl:lncRNA